GCCACCACUGUAAUGCGCCCCGUGAACCUCAUAUUCAUUAAAUUUAAUAUACAAUUAAAUUUAAUGAAAACGAGGAAGGAAAGGAGGAGGGAGAGGAAGAGAAAGAAGAAGAGAAGGAGUAGGGAGAGGAAGAAGAGAGGAGGUGGAGCGUGAAGGAGUAGGGAGAGGUAGAGGAAGAAGAGGAAGAGAAGGAGUAGGGAGAGGAAGAAGAGAGGAGGAGGAGGGAGAGGAAGAAGAGAGGAGGUUGAGGAGUUGGGAGAGGAAGAAGAGAGGAGGAGGAGAAGGAGUAGGGAGAGG